AUACUUACCUGGUGCCGGGAUAACCACGAUCACCUAGGUGGUGUCUCCAGGGUGAGGCGCGGGCAUUGCACUGCGCUCGUGCUGACCCCUGCCACUACCCCAAACUGGGGCAGAUGGGGCAUGUAAUUUUUGGUAGUGGGGGGACUGCGUUCGCGCUAUCCCCCU